rnacentral:sRNA from 1 species
CGGUUUCCACCUGCUGCGGACAGAUAAAGUGAAUAUGGGUGUCGAUCCCGCCCGCUGUCAGGAUGUAACCAUUCCCGCCAUGCACCUCGGUCGACGCCCCGAUGAUCAUACCGGGAUCGACGCCGUCCAUCGUAUCCGGGUUCCCCGCCCUGCCGAUCCCGACGAUCUUCCCGUCCCUGAUGCCGAUAUCGGCCUUCACUAUUCCCCAGUGGUCGAUCACGAUCGCCCCGGUGAUGCACAGAUCGAGCACCCCUUCGUCGCGCAGGGCUGUUGCAUUUUGUCCCAUCCCGUCG